AUUGAACGCUGGCGGCAUGCCUAACACAUGCAAGUCGAACGGCAGCGCAAUAAAGAUUUCGGUCUUUAUGGGUGGCGAGUGGCGGACGGGUGAGUAACGCGUAGGAAUCUGUCCUGGAGAGUGGGAUAACCCGAGGAAACUCGGGCUAAUACUGCAUGACAUUGAGAGAUCAAAAGCAGGGGACCGAAAGGCCUUGCGCUCUGGGGUGAGCCUACGUCGGAUUAGCUAGUUGGUGGGGUAAAGGCCUACCAAGGCGACGAUCCGUAGCUGGUCUGAGAGGAUGACCAGCCACACUGGGACUGAGACACGGCCCAGACUCCUACGGGAGGCAGGAGUGGGGAAUCUUGGACAAUGGGGGAAACCCUGAUCCAGCGAUGCCGCGUGUGUGAAGAAGGCCUUCGGGUUGUAAAGCACUUUAGGUGGGGAAGAAAGGUAGCGAGUGAAUAACUUUCUGCUGUGACGGUACCCACAGAAUAAGCACCGGCUAACUCUGUGCCAGCCGCCGCGGUAA
rnacentral:rRNA from 1 species